rnacentral:rRNA from 1 species
GUGGGUAAUACCUGAUAGAAGAUUAUUGCUGGAAUGCAUUUUCUUUUAAAGCUUCGGCGCCUAAAGAUGAGUCGGCGGCUGAUUAGGCUGUUGGUGAGGUAAUGGCUCACCAAACCAAAGAUCAGUAGGGGGGAUGAGAGUCCUAGCCCCAAGAAGGGCCCUGAGAUACUGGCCCUAGUCCUAAGGGAUGCAGCAGUCAGGAAUUCUUUACAAUGCACGCAAGUGUGAUAAGGGGAUUCCAAGUGCUUUACUUAUGGUAAAGCUUUUGUCGAGUUUAAGUAUCUCGGCGAAUAAGUGGUGGGUAAUACCGGUGCCAGCUGCCGCGGUAAUACCGGAGCCACAAGUGGUGAUCACGUUUAUUGGGUCUAAAGCGUUCGUAGCCGGUUUAGUAAGUUUUUUGUGAAAUUGUUGGGCUUAACUCAACAACGGGCAAGAAAUACUGCUAGACUUGAGACUGGGAGGGGAUAGAGGUAUUCCAGGGGGAGCGGUAAAAUGUUAUAAUCCCUGGAGGACCACCGAUGGCGAAGGCAUCUAUCCAGAACGGGUCUGACGGUGAGGAACGAAGGCUAGGAGAACGAUAAGGAUUAGAUACCCUAGUAGCCCUAGCAGUAAACGCUGUGAGCUAUGUGUUGUAUAUUCUUCAUGGAUGUACAGUGCCGUAGAGAAGUCGUUAAGCUCACCACCUGGGAAGUACGGUCGCAAGGCUGAAACUUAAAGGAAUUGGCGGGGGCGCGUCACAAGGAGUGGGGCGUGCGGUUUAAUUGGAUUACACACCGGGAAUCUCACCGGGAGCGACAGCAGGAUGAAGGUCAGAUUGAAGGUUUUACCUGACGAGCUGAGAGAUAUUGCAUGGCCGUCGUCAGUUCGUGCUGUGAAGUGUCCUGUCAAGUCAGGCAACGAACGAGACCUGCACUUACAUUUGCUAGCAUCUCCUUUUGGAGGAAUGAGCACAAUGUAAGGACUGCCCUUGAAAAAGGGAGGAAGGUGCAGGCUACGGUAGGUCAGUAUGUUUCGAAUCCCCCGGGCUACACGCGCGCAACAAUGGCAGAGACAAUGGGAUACAACUCUGAAAAGAGAAGUAAAUCCUCGAAACUCUGUCUUAGUUCGGAUUGAAGAUUGUAACUCAUCUUCAUGACGCUGGAAUUCCUAGUAAUCGGGUCUCAACAUGGCCCGGUGAAUACGUCAACGUGCCUUGCACACACCGCCCAUCAAGCCACCCGAGCAGAGUUUGGAUGAGGUUUAGUUUUUUGAUUAAUUCGAAUCUGAGCUCAGCAAGGUGGGUUAAGUUGUCACAAGGUA